GGUUUUUGAAGACUGUAACCAACGUACACCCAAACACAAACUAGAAGAUGUAGUGUAAAUACUAAUUUGCAAAUAGAUGCAUCCAGACAUUUAUCAACGAUUUAAGCUGGACAGUAAAUAUACAAACCUUUAUGCACCAUGUGUUGAAGAAGAGGAUGAAGAGCCAGUUCCUUUAAAUUUGGGGAAUUUAUCAGACGCAACCAUGUAAGCUGGCAGUUAUUGACAAUAGCAAUAGGUUUUCUCUGUGCACUUAAUGGUAAAAGAUUG